CAGUCGCCGCGGUAAUGCGUAGGUGGCAAGCGUUGUCCGGAAUUAUUGGGCGUAAAGGGCUCGCAGGCGGUUCCUUAAGCCUGAUGUGAAAGCCCCCGGCUCAACCGGGGAGGGUCAUUGGAAACUGGGAAACUUGAGUGCAGAAGAGGAGAGUGGAAUUCCACGUGUAGCGGUGAAAUGCGUAGAGAUGUGGAGGAACACCAGUGGCGAAGGCGACUCUCUGGUCUGCAACUGACGCUGAGGAGCGAAAGCGUGGGGAGCGAACAGGAUUAGAUACCCCCGUAGUCCCUGUCUCUUAUAC
rnacentral:rRNA from 1 species